NNNNNNNNNNNNNNNNNNNNNCAGUUGCCAACAGCCUCCUGGUGCCUGUUGGACCAUCCCUUGCUGGUUCUUCAUUUCCUGUGGGCCUAGUUUCCAGGGGCUGAGUGACCAGGGUCUUAAAACAGGUUUAAGGCUUGGCUUGCUGGCCCUGGAGAUCCCGUCGCCGUCUUCGUCGAACUCGAAAUCCUAGCCAUCGUCCUUCCCUGGCCUGUCGCGUCUUCCUGUGCCAUUUGCUGUUGUGCUCAGGUUCCACGAGCUGCCCAUCUCCACAGAAGAGCAGCUGGCAUUGCCCACCGGCCAUGCCGGCUGAAGAAAAGAAGACUGAGGACCCCAGGAUGCCCAGCGCGAGGACCCCAGGAAGCCCAGCGCGAGGACUCCACCCACGACGCCCAGCGCGAGGACUUCACGCACAACACGUUGCAACCCUCCUGGAUUAGGCCAAAGCCAUCAUCUGGAAUCCUGCGUGGGACCCUGGACACACGGACACAGACACCUGCCCCCAGGACCCUCCAACUGUAAAUCGAUUGGAAGCGCCCUUGUGAGCUGGGGCCUUCAAAGGGCUGAGGAGAAAAUGCAGGCCGAGAGACCAGCUUCUCAAAUAGGCUUCAAGCCUCCAUGACCUGAGCUCACCCCCUGGAAAUGUCUGGAAAACAUAAUGGGCAGGUUUUCUGUCUUCAAAGUUUCCA
ensembl:lincRNA Meg3 maternally expressed 3